ACCUGAAAAUAAUCACCUGUGACUCUGACCCUGUGUGGUUGAGACUUGGUGCUCAGAGCCAGCCAGGCCUCAGCCGGAUGCCCACUUUCCUAUGGGGGGGGAUUGCAAAACCCAGGCACCUACAAGU
rnacentral:snoRNA from 1 species